rnacentral:sRNA from 1 species
CCUGAGCCUGCUGCUGUCUCCUGAGCCCACUGUGAGAUCCAGAUAGAUACCCACUGAGGAGGAAGCAGGAUGGAGACAUGGGAUCAGGCAUUGCUUUCUUGUAAAUAUGUGCAUUUCCUGUUACUUUACAUGAAAGCAUGAGAUGUCAAUCUCUGGACCUGCCUUCUGGACGCCAUUUAUCUAAAAUUCACUGUUUGUUUUUUUUUGAAAGGUAAAGCACUAGUUUACCUUAGCUACAACUUUCAUGGUAUAUAAACCUUGCAGAAACUUCAUUAAAACUAACUGAAGGAA